AUUGAACGCUGGCGGCAGGCCUAACACAUGCAAGUCGAGCGGAUGAAGGGAGCUUGCUCCUGGAUUCAGCGGCGGACGGGUGAGUAAUGCCUAGGAAUCUGCCUGGUAGUGGGGGAUAACGUCCGGAAACGGGCGCUAAUACCGCAUACGUCCUGAGGGAGAAAGUGGGGGAUCUUCGGACCUCACGCUAUCAGAUGAGCCUAGGUCGGAUUAGCUAGUUGGUGGGGUAAAGGCCUACCAAGGCGACGAUCCGUAACUGGUCUGAGAGGAUGAUCAGUCACACUGGAACUGAGACACGGUCCAGACUCCUACGGGAGGCAGCAGUGGGGAAUAUUGGACAAUGGGCGAAAGCCUGAUCCAGCCAUGCCGCGUGUGUGAAGAAGGUCUUCGGAUGGUAAAGCACUUUAAGUUGGGAGGAAGGGCAGUAAGUUAAUACCUGGCUGUUUUGACGUGACCAACAGAAUAAGCACCGGCUAACUUCGU
rnacentral:rRNA from 1 species